GUAGGUGAACCUGCGGAAGGAUCAUUACCAAUAUAAAAUGUCGCUCACGGGACCUCCCUGAAUCAAUCGCCGGAUGUCAUCACCCUUAAGUUACUUAGUCUUGAUGCAUCCUCCCCGAGGCGAGGGUUCGGUGGAAGGUACCGGAGUUCAUAUUAUUCAAACACUUGUAUACUUAUCCCACUUCUUCCGUGAGCGCAAGUUCACGGACAUACACAUAACAUUCUGUUUUUACAUUCAUGUCUGAUAAAAU
rnacentral:misc_RNA from 1 species